CCUACGGGUGGCAGCAGUGGGGAAUAUUGGACAAUGGGGGCAACCCUGAUCCAGCCAUGCCGCGUGUGUGAAGAAGGCCCUCGGGUUGUAAAGCACUUUCAGUGAGGAAGAACGCCUGGUGGUUAAUACCCAUCAGGAAAGACAUCACUCACAGAAGAAGCACCGGCUAACUCCGUGCCAGCAGCCGCGGUAAUACGGAGGGUGCGAGCGUUAAUCGGAAUUACCGGGCGUAAAGCGCGCGUAGGUGGCUUGAUAAGCCGGUUGUGAAAGCCCCGGGCUCAACCUGGGAACGGCAUCCGGAACUGUCAAGCUAGAGUGCAGGAGAGGAAGGUAGAAUUCCCGGUGUAGCGGUGAAAUGCGUAGAGAUCGGGAGGAAUACCAGUGGCGAAGGCGGCCUUCUGGACUGACACUGACACUGAGGUGCGAAAGCGUGGGUAGCAAACAGGAUUAGAUACCCGAGUAGUC
rnacentral:rRNA from 1 species